rnacentral:sRNA from 1 species
CAAACAGAUGAGGAUCCUGCACGUCAAUGGGUUUAAUCCCGAGGAAAAGAAACAGAAAAUUCUGGACAUCCGGAAAAAUGUUAAAGAUGCUAUCGUGACAAUUGUUUCAGCAAUGAGUACUAUAAUACCUCCAGUUCCACUGGCCAACCCUGAAAACCAAUUUCGAUCAGACUACAUCAAGAGCAUAGCCCCUAUCACUGACUUUGAAUAUUCCCAGGAAUUCUUUGACCAUGUGAAAAAACUUUGGGACGAUGAAGGCGUGAAGGCAUGCUUUGAGAGAUCCAACGAAUACCAGCUGAUUGACUGUGCACAAUAAAACCCUUGCCCUGAGACAUCCAGAAGAAAAUUUUUAGUGGGAUUACCACAAAUGUUUUUGUGUGUAAAACCUGUUUUUAAAAUAUCUCAGAAAAUCUACUUUCUUGGGUGGAGAACUGCAGUGGCUUCCCAUUCCUUAUCUAACGUAACCCUCAGACUUCC